AGGCAGGGUUCUGGGUGAUCUCCCCAGCUCCUUUGUGGCCCUCUUGCUCCAGAAGGUCAAGCAGAGGCACUGCCUGGCCCUCAGCCCCUGUCUGUUCCCAGGAUUCCGUUUCAGAGAAGGUCUGUGGACAGCGCUGCACAUGCGAGGGAUGCUGCUGAUGAUUUGUGAAAUGCUGGAGUUCUGAUACUGUGUGAUGUUAGCAAUAAAAAUCAAUCUGCAAAAUGCAUCAAAUUAGUCUAGAAGACAUUGAACGCAGUACAUUUAUUGCCUGGAGAAAUGAGAAAUCUGUCAUCUCUUAGGUACUGUAGAGGCCCUAAUUUUUUUUGAACAUUUGCUGAUAGCAUCAGGAUCUGCAGUGGCUGAACAACUGGAAAGCGUUCAUGGUACGGAGAAAGGUAGGAAGGAGAACAUUUGCAGAUCUUUUCUGUGGAAACAGAGAAAUGAUUUCUUGAAUCUGUGUGUACUUUUUUGUUCUGAAAGACACGAGACAAAUAUCCAGGUCUCCUGGAAUAUGUAUGGACUAUGGCAUGACUUGCUGGAUAAAUCAUCUUCCACUGAUACAACUGGAAAUCUCAGUCUGCCCAUCAGCAAUUAUACCAUAACACAAGCUGCAGUGACCUGGGUACCAAGCACAAGUGGGAUACUGUAG
rnacentral:lncRNA from 1 species